rnacentral:lncRNA from 1 species
GCCCUGACACACAGCUGGGACUCUCAGGUCCGACCAGCGGUCCUGAACCCGCUCCCACGGCACGGGAACUCCUUCGUGGCGAAGCAGCAUGUGGCGAAGCAGCAGCCCCUGCGCUGGCUCAUCUACAUAGAAGUCGCCCUAUCCGUGAUGUCACCGACAGCGCCUUUCCCAGUCCCCGUCUGCCUUUCUGCCGCUCAGCCGACCAACCCGCUGCCGGAGCCGGCAAGGGGAAGUGACGUCUGCCUCUCCCUUUUUUCUCUCCUGCUUCCCUCAUCUGUUCUCUUCCAAAGAAGCUGGUCCUUAGCCUGUAUUGCGGAGCAAGCUUUCGGCGACCAGCUGGACCCUGGGCACCCUUCUUCGAACAAUGGCUUUUAAUUCUCAGACUAGAACGUUUAGGAUUACAAAAGAAACUGGUUCUUUUCACAUUCUUAUUCUUGUGAUGUAGCAUUCCGCAUAUAUAUAUAUAUAUAUAUAUAUAUAUAUAUAUAUAUGUAUCCAACUAUCCUAAAAGACACUACCCUUCAUCAUUCCAUGCCAUUAGACAUGUAUAGGACCAUGCAUGGUGAUCUCCUCCAGACAAAAGUAAAUGCUGGUGCAGAACAGUGUCUUCCUGGUACUACACAUGAAGAUGUCCCGCUCUCCCCUGCUCAAGGAGAGAGUGCCUGACCUGAGCUGGGCCCAUCAGAUCCAGUACUUACCUGGAAUACGAAAAAGAUGGAGAGAGUGACCAAAGAUUACAAAAAUCUCUGAAGCUUAUCUACUUGAGAGAGAGUCCCUGAAGAUACUGGCCUCUCAUUCCUGCUAUGUAUAUCCAAUGUGACUGAACUCUGAAUAAAAUAUACAAGUUAUAACAAUGUAGCAAUUGACCCAGCAAACGAGGACACAAACGUGUUGGAGGGUAAGGUGGUGAGAGGCGUGUUUGGGGGUGGUGGUGAUGAGCAAGUAUGUGAAGGAGAGGUAGUGCCUAAACUUGAAAAUCAAAAAGUAAUAAUAUCUAUUUAGACAUAAGGAGAUAAAUAACGAAAUAAUUGCUUCUAUGUGAUGAAACUCUGGGAGUACACAAGGGGACUGCUAUUUUACUAAACAAAUUUUCAAAUAUAUAUAACUUUGAUAAAGUAUCCAAAUAAAAUAAUUCCUUUCCCAU